rnacentral:rRNA from 1 species
AUUGAACGCUGGCGGCAGGCCUAACACAUGCAAGUCGAGCGGAGCGGCGGACGGGUGAGUAAUGCCUAGGAAUCUGCCUGUUAGUGGGGGAUCACGUCCGGAAACGGGCCCUAAUACCACAUACUUUCAGGUCAGCCUCGGUCGGAUUAGCUAGUUGGUGGGGUAAAGGCUUACCAAGGCGACGAUCUGUAGCUGGUCUGAGAGGAUGAUCAGUCACACUGGAACUGAGACACGGUCCAGACUCCUACGGGAGGCAGCAGUGGGGAAUAUUGGGCAAUGGGCGAAAGCCUGAUCCAGCCAUGCCGCGUGAGUGAAGAAGGUCUUCGGAUUGUAAAGCACUUUAAGUAGGGAGGCGUUACCAACAGAAUAAGCAACGGCUAACUUCGUGCCAGCAGCCGCGGUAAUAC